UUUCUACUCCCUCCGAUCCAUAUUAAUUGUCAAAUAUUUGUCCAAAUAUGGAUGUAUCUAUGCCUAAAAAAUAUCUAGAUACAUGUAAUAUUUCGACAAGUAAUAUGGAUCGGAGGGAGUAGUAG
rfam:Brachypodium distachyon strain Bd21 chromosome 5, whole genome shotgun sequence.